UACAGGGGGGGCAAGCGUUGUUCGGAAUUACUGGGCGUAAAGGGCGCGUAGGCGGCCGCCUAAGUCAGACGUGAAAUCCCUCGGCUCAACCGGGGAACUGCGUCUGAUACUGGGCGGCUUGAAUUCGGGAGAGGAAUGCGGAAUUCCAGGUGUAGCGGUGAAAUGCGUAGAUAUCUGGAGGAACACCGGUGGCGAAGGCGGCAUUCUGGACCGACAUUGACGCUGAGGCGCGAAAGCGUGGGGAGCAAACAGG
rnacentral:rRNA from 1 species